UCCUACGGGAGGCAGCAGUAGGGAAUCUUCCGCAAUGGACGAAAGUCUGACGGAGCAACGCCGCGUGAGUGAUGAAGGUUUUCGGAUCGUAAAACUCUGUUGUUAGGGAAGAACAAGUACGAGAGUAACUGCUCGUACCUUGACGGUACCUAACCAGAAAGCCACGGCUAACUACGUGCCAGCAGCCGCGGUAAUACGUAGGUGGCAAGCGUUGUCCGGAAUUAUUGGGCGUAAAGCGCGCGCAGGCGGUCCUUUAAGUCUGAUGUGAAAGCCCACGGCUCAACCGUGGAGGGUCAUUGGAAACUGGGGGACUUGAGUGCAGGAGAGAAGAGUGGAAUUCCACGUGUAGCGGUGAAAUGCGUAGAGAUGUGGAGGAACACCAGUGGCGAAGGCGACUCUUUGGCCUGUAACCGACGCUGAGGCGCGAAAGCGUGGGGAGCAAACAGGAUUAGAUACCCUGGUAGUCCACGCCGUAAACGAUGAGUGCUAAGUGUUAGAGGGUUUCCGCCCUUUAGUGCUGCAGUAAACGCAUUAAGCACUCCGCCUGGGGAGUACGGCCGCAAGGCUGAAACUCAAAGGAAUUGACGGA
rnacentral:rRNA from 1 species